rnacentral:rRNA from 1 species
GAUGAACGCUGGCGGCGUGCCUAAUACAUGCAAGUCGAGCGCACAGACGAGGAGCUUGCCCCUCUCACGUUAGUGGCGGACGGGUGAGUAACACGUGGAUAACCUACCUAUAAGACUGGGAAACUUCGGGAAACCGGUGCUAAUCACCGCUAACAUGUUGAACUUCCUGGAUCAAUAGUUAAAAACUGUCUUUCUGUCACUUAUAGAUGGAUCCGCGCCGUAUUAGCUAGUUGGUAAGGUAACGGCUUACCAAGGCAACGAUGCGAAGCCGACCUGAGAGGGUGCUCGGCCACACUGGAACUGGAACACGGUCAAGACUCCUACGGGGGACAGCGGUAGGGAAUCUUGGGAAAUGGGCGAAAGCCUAACGGGGAAACGCCGCGUGAGUGAGAAGGGUCUUCGGACGGAAAAACUCGGUUAUAGGGGAGGAAGAGAUGUGUAAGGAACUGUGCACAUUUUGACGGUAGCUAAUCAGAAAGCCACGGCUAACUACGUG